rnacentral:rRNA from 1 species
AGUGAACGCUCGCGGUAGGCCUAACACAUGCAAGUCGAACGGCAGCACAGUAAGAGCUUGCUCUUACGGGAGGCGAGUGGCGGACGGGUGAGGAAUACAUCGGAAUCUACUUUUUCGUGGGGGAUAACGUAGGGAAACUUACGCUAAUACCGCAUACGACCUACGGGUGAAAGCAGGGGAUCUUCGGACCUUGCGCGAUUGAAUGAGCCGAUGUCGGAUUAGCUAGUUGGCGGGGUAAAGGCCCACCAAGGCGACGAUCCGUAGCUGGUCUGAGAGGAUGAUCAGCCACACUGGAACUGAGACACGGUCCAGACUCCUACGGGAGGCAGCAGUGGGGAAUAUUGGACAAUGGGCGCAAGCCUGAUCCAGCCAUACCGCGUGGGUGAAGAAGGCCUUCGGGUUGUAAAGCCCUUUUGUUGGGAAAGAAAAGCAGCAGGUUAAUACCCCGCUGUUCUGACGGUACCCAAAGAAUAAGCACCGGCUAACUUCGUG